UACGUAGGGUGCAAGCGUUGUCCGGAAUUAUUGGGCGUAAAGAGCUCGUAGGCGGCCUGUCACGUCGGCUGUGAAAACCCGGGGCUCAACCCCGGGCCUGCAGUCGAUACGGGCAGGCUAGAGUUCGGCAGGGGAGACUGGAAUUCCUGGUGUAGCGGUGAAAUGCGCAGAUAUCAGGAGGAACACCGGUGGCGAAGGCGGGUCUCUGGGCCGAUACUGACGCUGAGGAGCGAAAGCGUGGGGAGCGAACAGG
rnacentral:rRNA from 1 species